GAUGAAGAACGUAGCGAAAUGCGAUAAGUAAUGUGAAUUGCAGAAUUCAGUGAAUCAUCGAAUCUUUGAACGCACAUUGCGCCCCCUGGUAUUCCGGGGGGCAUGCCUGUCCGAGCGUCAUUACUGCCCUCAAGCGCGGCUUGUGUGUUGGGCCCUCGUCCCCCCCGGGGGACGUGCCCGAAAGGCAGUGGCGGCGCCGUGCCCGGACCUCGAGCGUAUGGGGCUUUGUCACCCGCUCUGGAGACCCGGCCGGCGGCCGUCGGACCACCCCAACCUUUUUAACCGGUUGACCUCGGAUCAGGCAGGGAUACCCGCUGAACUUAAGCAUAUCAAUAAGCGGAGGA
rnacentral:misc_RNA from 1 species